rnacentral:rRNA from 1 species
AUUGAACGCUGGCGGCAGGCUUAACACAUGCAAGUCGAGCGGAGAGAGGUAGCUUGCUACUGAUCUUAGCGGCGGACGGGUGAGUAGUGCUUAGGAAUCUGCCUAUUAGUGAGGGACAACAUUUCGAAAGGAAUGCUAAUACCGCAUACGUCCUACGGGAGAAAGCAGGGGAUCUUCGGACCUUGCGCUAAUAGAUGAGCCUAAGUCGGAUUAGCUAGUUGGUGGGGUAAAGGCCUACCAAGGCGACGAUCUGUAGCGGGUCUGAGAGGAUGAUCCGCCACACUGGGACUGAGACACGGCCCAGACUCCUGCGGGAGGCAGCAGUGGGGAAUAUUGGACAAUGGGCGGAAGCCUGAUCCAGCCAUGCCGCGUGUGUGAAGAAGGUCUUCGGAUUGUAAAGCACUUUAAGUUGGGAGGAAGGGCAGUAAGUUAAUACCUUGCUGUUUUGACGUUACCAACAGAAAAAGCACCGGCUAACUUCGUGCCAGCAGCCGCAGUAAAAC